rnacentral:lncRNA from 10 species
CGGCUGCGGGCCAGGGUCUGGGAAGGGGGUGGUGGGUCGCCGUUUCAUCAGAAGCCGGAGGACGGGCGCCAGGGGGCAACUUCCUACAGGAGGGCGUCCCGUUAGAAUGACAGGGCUUUUGCAAAAGUCUGACACCCGUGGCACAGAGCGCCCCAGAUAUGGAGGGUUUCACAGGCUCAUGUGUGGCUUCUUCAGUCCUCUCUUCAUUCACUCAUGUAUUCAUUUAUUCAACGACAUAUUACUAAGGAACCUCCUUAAGCCGGGAUGCUGAACGUGGAAAAAUAGUUGACUCUUGAACAAUGUGGGGGCUUGGGGCACCAACCCCCUGUGCAGUUGAAAAUCGACAUAUAACUUUGACUCGCCAAAAACUUCACUACAAUAGCCUGCUGCCAACCUGAAGUCUUACCAAUAACAUCAACAGUCAAUUAAACAUAUUACUAGGCUGAAAAGGAGAAGGAAGUGAAGGGGUUGGUCUUGCCGUCUCACGAGUGGCAGAGGCAGGAGAAAAUCCAAAUGUAAGUGGACCUAUGCAGUUCAAACCCAAGUUGUUC